ACCUUAUCAAGAGAGGCUGAGGGACAGGCCCGAUGAAGCCCGGCAACCACCCAUAAGGGAAAAGGUGCUAAUUCCUACAGGAUUUAUCCUGAAAGAUGAGGU
rfam:Clostridium hiranonis DSM 13275 Scfld0 genomic scaffold, whole genome shotgun sequence.